rnacentral:rRNA from 1 species
GCAAUCCUACGGGAGGCAGCAGUGGGGAAUAUUGCACAAUGGGGGAAACCCUGAUGCAGCAACGCCGCGUGAGUGAAGAAGUAUUUCGGUAUGUAAAGCUCUAUCAGCAGGGAAGAAGAUGACGGUACCUGAUUAAGAAGCCCCGGCUAACUACGUGCCAGCAGCCGCGGUAAUACGUAGGGGGCAAGCGUUAUCCGGAUUUACUGGGUGUAAAGGGAGCGCAGACGGCAGUGCAAGUCUGGAGUGAAAGCCCGGGGCCCAACCCCCGGACUGCUUUGGAAACUGUAUAGCUGGAGUGCAGGAGG